UGGGGAAUAUUGCACAAUGGGCGCAAGCCUGAUGCAGCCAUGCCGCGUGUGUGAAGAAGGCCUUCGGGUUGUAAAGCACUUUCAGCGAGGAGGAAGGGUAAUGUGUUAAUAAGACAUUGCAUUGACGUUACUCGCAGAAGAAGCACCGGCUAACUCCGUGCCAGCAGCCGCGGUAAUACGGAGGGUGCAAGCGUUAAUCGGAAUUACUGGGCGUAAAGCGCACGCAGGCGGUUUGUUAAGUCAGAUGUGAAAUCCCCGCGCUCAACGUGGGAACGGCAUUUGAGACUGGCAAGCUAGAGUCUUGUAGAGGGGGGUAGAAUUCCAGGUGUAGCGGUGAAAUGCGUAGAGAUCUGGAGGAAUACCGGUGGCGAAGGCGGCCCCCUGGACAAAGACUGACGCUCAGGUGCGAAAGCGUGGGGAGCAAACA
rnacentral:rRNA from 1 species